GACAGAGGUACCGAGCGUUAGGCGGAAUCACUGGGCUUAAAGCGUGUGUAGGCGGGCGGGCAAGUACCUUGUGAAAUCCCACGGCUCAACCGUGGAACGGCUGGGUAUACUGCCUGUCUUGAGCCAACUAGGGGCGAGCGGAACAGACGGUGGAGCGGUGAAAUGCGUAGAUAUCAGGAGGAACACCAAUGGCGAAGGCAGCUCGCUGGGACGGUACUGACGCUGAGACGCGAAAGCGUGGGGAGCAAACAGG
rnacentral:rRNA from 1 species